UGCUUGAUUGAGCUCGUCGUCGUCCACGUCGUCGUCGUCGUCCGCCUCGCCAAACCCAUCCGUGUCAGUACUAUCACAGGCGGUCACUACCUUUGGUAGCGCUUUCGGUCGUGCACUGUUGACGUCGGGCAGACUCUGGCAGCUCACCACCACCGUGGGCCGUGGAACUGCUGCUGCCUGCCAGUAGUGUCGUGCACCGAUCGCGGUCCAACCGAGGCGUGGGUUCCUUUGUACGUGCUCCGGAGCUGCUGCCACCGUUGGACGACAGCAGACGUGUCAUGCCUAUCACGCUUCCUGUGCCACUGCCCGGCGGAUCCCGAUCGAUGUCCUGCAUCGAGAGGAACACGCCCGAAUCGGAGGCGGCCAUCUUGGCGUCGGCAAACGAUGGUAGUGUUUGGUUGUGACGCUGCUCAUCAUUCUCACACUCACUGUUGUGUUUCAGGUUCUCCAUGCGCCGUCGGAACACUCCCGGGAGCGUAAUGAUUGGUACUAUCGCUGUUGAUGACCCGGCCGUUCCAGCCGCUCUCGUUACACUGUCAGUCAUUUCUUGCGCGGUCGCCGCUACUGCUGCCAUCUUACCGCCGUAAUAGCAAACUAUGGCACCAAUUUGAAGAUUAUUUGAACCACAACGAACACUCUUCUUCUGAAGCUUUUCGCGGUGUAGCUUGCCGUUUGCUUAGCGCUCUGUAUGUAGGUUAGACAAGCAAACACACUUAUUCUCUGCGCUGCGCGUUGGAAUAACAAACUUAUCAGUACAAAAAACUCGGAAACUAGGAGUUCAUUUAUUGGGUUUACGAACGAAACACUUGAUAUUACUUGUUACUUCAAUAAUUACUCUCCCUCGGCCGACUCUAUGACAAACGUGCAUAUAACAAUAGUUAAAUAAAUAAAUUUAUUUUCAUUCAACAACAA